rnacentral:rRNA from 1 species
CCCUUAGAGUUUGAUCCUGGCUCAGGACGAACGCUGGCGGCGUGCUUAACACAUGCAAGUCGAACGAUGAUGCCCAGCUUGCUGGGCGGAUUAGUGGCGAACGGGUGAGUAAUACGUGAGUAACCUGCCCUUGACUCUGGGAUAAGCCUGGGAAACUGGGUCUAAUACUGGAUACUACUUCCUGCCGCAUGGUGGGUGGUGGAAAGGGUUUUACUGGUUUUGGAUGGGCUCACGGCCUAUCAGCUUGUUGGUGGGGUAAUGGCUCACCAAGGCGACGACGGGUAGCCGGCCUGAGAGGGUGACCGGCCACACUGGGACUGAGACACGGCCCAGACUCCUACGGGAGGCAGCAGUGGGGAAUAUUGCACAAUGGGCGGAAGCCUGAUGCAGCGACGCCGCGUGAGGGAUGACGGCCUUCGGGUUGUAAACCUCUUUCAGUAGGGAAGAAGCGAGAGUGACGGUACCUGCAGAAGAAGCGCCGGCUAACUACGUGCCAGCAGCCGCGGUAAUACGUAGGGCGCAAGCGUUGUCCGGAAUUAUUGGGCGUAAAGAGCUCGUAGGCGGUUUGUCGCGUCUGCUGUGAAAGCCCGGGGCUCAACCCCGGGUCUGCAGUGGGUACGGGCAGACUAGAGUGCAGUAGGGGAGACUGGAAUUCCUGGUGUAGCGGUGAAAUGCGCAGAUAUCAGAGAAC